rnacentral:antisense_RNA from 1 species
AUAGAUGGCCUGGAUUAGUGCAAUGUGCAACAAGAGGACUAUAUCGUCUCAGUAAAAACCUUGAAGAGAUGAACCCAUUUCAGAGACCCAGCAAGGGAUCACCUGCAUAAUACACAGGCAUCAGCAGAAACAGGAAUUUGGGAUUUUAUCCUGAAGGUAGUGGAAGCUUUUGGAGGUCUUAACCAGGACAGCACAUGUGGCUUUCCUGCAAUGGGAUCAUCCUUCAAGAGGACCUCACAGGCUCUCCACCUGGACUGUGACGUAAGCAGCUGCAGCAGCCUUGGAUGUUUCUGGAUAGCCAGCCCCAUGAGAACAGCUUUAAAAUAGGAGACUGGCAUUGUGAUGAAGUGUGGACUUCGCUGUCAUAUAGACCUGGAUUUAAAUCCUGGCUUCAGUGUUUAUGGAUGACGUUGGACAAGUCAUUUAACCUCCUUAAGUCUCAGAGUUCUCAUUAUGGAAAUGGAGCUCUUAAUAGUACCUACCCCCUAGUGUGGUUGUGAGGGUUGAGAUCAUCUAUGUUCAAAGUGCUUAUUAUACGGAGCCUGGGACAUGUAAGUGCU